UCAAAGUUACGUACACUUCAGUACUUCAGAAGGCUCCCUCGUCGCUGGCCAGUUUUCGCGCCCUAACCGUGCUACCCGUGUUUCACAAGCUGUUUCCAAUCUAACCCUGGACUUAUUCCAACAAUCCUCCUCCUCCCCUUCACUGCACCCACCGCGACGCACGCUUCCUCAGAGCGACGAGCACACAACACCUUCAGUGAAGAUUAACUGAGGACGGCAAGAUAGCGCAGUCAGGGUGUCCGGGUAUCUGUGGCCCGCAGGCCGCCACCACCGCCACCCUGUCGUUCUC